rfam:Schistosoma mattheei strain Denwood, Zambia genome assembly, scaffold: SMTD_contig0000442
AUCCAGCUGACGAGUCCGAAAUAGGACGAAACGCAGGUCAAGUUGGAU